GCGUUCGUGGUGUAGUUUUCAGCACGCUGGGCGCGUAUUCCAGAGGUCCGUGGUUCGAGUCCCGGCGAAGGCG
rnacentral:tRNA from 1 species